CAGCCGCCGCGGUAAUACGUAGGGUGCAAGCGUUAAUCGGAAUUACUGGGCGUAAAGCGUGCGCAGGCGGUUUGUUAAGACAGAUGUGAAAUCCCCGGGCUCAACCUGGGAACUGCAUUUGUGACUGGCAAGCUAGAGUGUGGCAGAGGGGGGUGGAAUUCCCGGUGUAGCGGUGAAAUGCGUAGAGAUCGGGAGGAACAUCAGUGGCGAAGGCGGCCAUCUGGGACAACACUGACGCUGAGGCACGAAAGCGUGGGGAGCAAACAGGAUUAGAUACCCCUGUAGUCCCUGUCUCUUAUAC
rnacentral:rRNA from 1 species